rnacentral:rRNA from 1 species
UACAGAGGUCUCGAGCGUUGUUCGGAUUCAUUGGGCGUAAGGGGUGCGUAGGUGGCGCUGUAAGUCAGGUGUGAAAUUUCGGAGCUUAACUCCGAAACUGCAUUUGAUACUGCGGUGCUUGAGGACUGGAGAGGAGACUGGAAUUUACGGUGUAGCAGUGAAAUGCGUAGAGAUCGUAAGGAAGACCAGUGGCGAAGGCGGGUCUCUGGACAGUUCCUGACACUGAGGCACGAAGGCCAGGGGAGCAAACGGG